UACGUAGGGGGCGAGCGUUGUCCGGAUUUACUGGGCGUAAAGGGCAUGCAGGCGGUCCGACACGUUUUGUGUGACAGCGGGUGGCUUAACUACCCGAGGAUACGAAAGACGGUUGGACUUGAGGACUCGAGAGGGACACGGAAUUCCGGGUGGAGUGGUGAAAUGCGUAGAGAUCCGGAGGAACACCGAAGGCGAAGGCAGUGUCCUGGCGAGUGACUGACGCUGAGGUGCGAAAGCCAGGGGAGCGAACGGG
rnacentral:rRNA from 1 species